AAAGCAAGGACCCCACAAUCGUCCAGCAAAAAGAGGGCUUGGAUGCCACCACUGACCAACUGUGUGGUCAAGUCGUUUGACUGUUCAGCGGUUCAGUCAAUCCUACAAGUUCCUGACUUUGCUGGGAUUGCAGGGUUUGAUGAUUCCCUCCUUGUCUGGGAUGAGGAGUUGAGGAUGAACCUUCAUUACUCCUCAGAGAUGCUAUGAUAACAUGUACAGGACCAUAUUGCUUCCUCACUGAUGUAUGGAAGUACUUGAUUGGUUGGUGGUCUUCCUAGCCAUGGAACUUUUCAUCUUUGACAUCACACCACUUUAAAAAAAA